UAAUAAGUGUUUUAUGGCACUUUUUAAAUCCAUAUACCACCUUGUGUGCAAUGUCGGUCGAUCCUCUUCUUGGAUGAUCGACCAAAGCAUCAACCUUUAUCUUUUAACUCUUUGUCUUGAAAAAUAUUAUGAAUAACAAUUUCAAAAUA
rnacentral:misc_RNA from 1 species